UAGGGAAUCUUCCGCAAUGGACGCAAGUCUGACGGAGCAACGCCGCGUGAGUGAGGAAGGCCUUCGGGUCGUAAAGCUCUGUUGCCAGGGAAGAAUGGCUUGCAGUUAACUGCUGCAAGUUUGACGGUACCUGAGAAGAAAGCCCCGGCUAACUACGUGCCAGCAGCCGCGGUAAUACGUAGGGGGCAAGCGUUGUCCGGAAUUAUUGGGCGUAAAGGGCGCGCAGGCGGCCGUUUAAGUCUCGUGUUUAAUCCCGGGGCUCAACCCCGGUACGCAUGGGAAACUGGAUGGCUUGAGUGCAGAAGAGGAGAGUGGAAUUCCACGUGUAGCGGUGAAAUGCGUAGAGAUGUGGAGGAACACCAGUGGCGAAGGCGGCUCUCUGGUCUGUAACUGACGCUGA
rnacentral:rRNA from 1 species